AAUUGGGGGUGAGAAGGAAGAUACAGGGGAAGCUAAGGACAAGCUUAUUAUGCUGUAAACUUUGCGAGAGAAUUGCAGUGUUCACUUCCAUUCAAUCGUUAGGCCCCCGCCUCAAUCGCCCUGUGAAUAGCUACUGUUCUGUGAGAGCCUACUAUGUGCUUGGUGCGCCCUCACAUCUACCAUCAUUAUUCUUGCUGGAAACAUGAAGUCUUGAGGAGGCUCAGGGAGGAGGAAAACAGGCCAACCAGUGUCUGCACCAGGAGGCCUGGCCUUCUGGAAAUGUGUUGGACAGCAAAGGGUCUACACUUCUGCUUUGGCUCCUGAAUGUGACAUAGCCAACCCAUGAGAGAUGUCAGUUGACAAAGAGCAUGAGGGUCAGGCCAUGGCCUCGUGACACAGUGGAUGAACAUCUGGCUGAAGAAAACCAGGAGAGAGAAGCAUUGGACACUGGCUUCCAGGCUUGGCUGCGUGGGCUCUGGCCAAGGUCUGGGGAUGUCCAGGACAAUCAGCUUUCUGCUUCUGUGUCCGUAAUCUCGGGGUAUGGACUCAUUUCCAGUGCUGAGAAGUUCUGAAAUUGCAAGAUUCUUCCUAGCAAGUUCCUGACCUGUCUUCUAACUCCCAUGCCAUGUGGCCCUCUCUGGGCCUCAGUUUCCCAUCUGUGAAUGAAAGCACUAGACUCGAAGGGUCCCUUCUGGCUCCUCUAAUUCCAACCCAGAGGCACAGCUCAGGCUGAGCAGUUGCAUUUCCUCAUCACGGGGGACUGACAGGGAUCUUUUGCAAUGCUUAAUUCCAGCAUCAAAAUUCCCCCAAAUAUUCGUGGUUUUUUUUUUCUUUUUUUGAGAUGGAGUCUCACUCUUGUCGCCCAAGCUAGAGUGCAA